GAUGAAGAACGCAGCGAAAUGCGAUAAGUAAUGUGAAUUGCAGAAUUCAGUGAGUCAUCGAAUCUUUGAACGCACAUUGCGCCCGCCAGUAUUCUGGCGGGCAUGCCUGUCUGAGCGUCAUUUCAACCCUCAUGCCCCUAGGGCGUGGUGUUGGGGAUCGGCCAAAGCCCGCGAGGGACGGCCGGCCCCUAAAUCUAGUGGCGGACCCGUCGUGGCCUCCUCUGCGAAGUAGUGAUAUUCCGCAUCGGAGAGCGAUGAGCCCCUGCCGUUAAACCCCCAACUUUCCAAGGUUGACCUCAGAUCAGGUAGGAAUACCCGCUGAACUUAAGCAUAUCAAUAAGCGGAGGA
rnacentral:misc_RNA from 1 species